rnacentral:tRNA from 1 species
GUCCCUGUAGUUCAAUGGAUAGAAUAAGAACCUCCUAAGUUCUAGAUCUGGGUUCGAUUCCCGGUGGGGACGCCA